UAAUCUAUUUGGGGCAAAUCCUCAUUUAGUUAUGACAGACUCAUACUUAACUGCUCAGAAUCACUUACUACUAUGUAAACAAUAACUUUUUAAGAUUUUAAUUGGAGU
rfam:Populus trichocarpa isolate Nisqually-1 chromosome 1, whole genome shotgun sequence.